UGAGGAAUAUUGCACAAUGGACGAAAGUCUGAUGCAGCGACGCCGCGUGAGUGAAGAAGCUUCUAGGAGCGUAAAACUCUGUUCUAGAGGAAGAAUGCCCACUUCGGUGGGAGUGACGGUACUCUAGAAGAAAGCACCGGCUAACUCCGUGCCAGCAGCCGCGGUAAUACGGAGGGUGCAAGCGUUGUCCGGAUUUACUGGGCGUAAAGGGCGUGUAGGCGGAAUGGUCAGUCGAGGGUGAAAACUGCAGGCUUAACUUGCAGCGUGCCUUCGAUACUACCAUUCUUGAGUGUGGGAGGGGAUGACGGAAUUCCCGGUGUAGCGGUGGAAUGCGCAGAUAUCGGGAGGAACACCGGUGGCGAAGGCGGUCAUCUGGCCUUACACUGACGCUGAGGCGCGAAAGCGUGGGUAGCAAACAGG
rnacentral:rRNA from 1 species